rnacentral:rRNA from 1 species
UGGGGAAUAUUGCACAAUGGGGGAAACCCUGAUGCAGCGACGCCGCGUGAGCGAAGAAGGCUUUCGAGUCGUAAAGCUCUGUCCUAUGAGAAGAUAAUGACGGUAUCAUAGGAGGAAGCCCUGGCUAAAUACGUGCCAGCAGCCGCGGUAAUACGUAUGGGGCGAGCGUUGUCCGGAAUUAUUGGGCGAAAAGGGUACGUAGGCGGUUUUUUAAUUCAGGUGUCAAAGCGUGGAGCUUAACUCGAUUAAGCACUUGAAACUGAAUGACUUGAGUGAAUGAGAGGAAAGUGGAAUUCCUAGUGUGGCGGUGAAAUGCGUAGAUAUUAAGAGAAAUACCGGUGGCGAAGGCGACUUUCUGGACUAAUACUGAAGCUCAAGUACGAAAGAGUGGGGAGCAAGCAGG